UAGGGAAUAUUGCAAAAUGGGCGAAAGCCCGAUGCAGCAACGCCGCGUGGGCGAUGAAGGCCUUCGGGUCGUAAAGCCCUUUUGAGGGGAUGAGGAAGGACAGUACCCUCAGAAUAAGCCUCGGCUAACUACGUGCCAGCAGCCGCGGUAAAACGUAGGAGGCGAGCGUUAUCCGGAUUUACUGGGCGUAAAGCGCGUGCAGGCGGAUUGGAGAGUUGGAUGUGAAAGCUCCCGGCUUAACUGGGAGAGGUCGUUCAAUACUUCCAGUCUUGAGUGCAGUAGAGGGAAGUGGAAUUCCGGGUGUAGUGGUGGAAUGCGUAGAUAUCCGGAGGAACACCAGUGGCGAAAGCGGCUUCCUGGACUGUAACUGACGCUCAGACGCGAAAGCUAGGGUAGCAAACG
rnacentral:rRNA from 1 species